GACAGAGGGGGCAAGCGUUGCUCGGAAUUACUGGGCGUAAAGGGCGCGUAGGCGGAAUGGCAAGUCGGUCGUGAAAUCCUUCGGCUCAACCGAAGAACGUCGAUCGAAACUGCCGUUCUUGAGGAUUGCAGAGGGGACUGGAAUUCCCGGUGUAGCGGUGAAAUGUGUAGAGAUCGGGAGGAACACCGGUGGCGAAGGCGGAUCUCUGGGCCAUUACUGACGCUGAGGAGCGAAAGCGUGGGGAGCGAACAGG
rnacentral:rRNA from 1 species